ACUAUCAUGCAAGUCGAGCGGACAGAAGGGAGCUUGCUCCCGGAUGUUAGCGGCGGACGGGUGAGUAACACGUGGGUAACCUGCCUGUAAGACUGGGAUAACUCCGGGAAACCGGAGCUAAUACCGGAUAGUUCCUUGAACCGCAUGGUUCAAGGAUGAAAGACGGUUUCGGCUGUCACUUACAGAUGGACCCGCGGCGCAUUAGCUAGUUGGUGAGGUAACGGCUCACCAAGGCGACGAUGCGUAGCCGACCUGAGAGGGUGAUCGGCCACACUGGGACUGAGACACGGCCCAGACUCCUACGGGAGGCAGCAGUAGGGAAUCUUCCGCAAUGGACGAAAGUCUGACGGAGCAACGCCGCGUGAGUGAUGAAGGUUUUCGGAUCGUAAAGCUCUGUUGUUAGGGAAGAACAAGUGCAAGAGUAACUGCUUGCACCUUGACGGUACCUAACCAGAAAGCCACGGCUAACUACGUGCCAGCAGCCGCGGUAAUACGUAGGUGGCAAGCGUUGUCCGGAAUUAUUGGGCGUAAAGGGCUCGCAGGCGGUUUCUUAAGUCUGAUGUGAAAGCCCCCGGCUCAACCGGGGAGGGUCAUUGGAAACUGGGAAACUUGAGUGCAGAAGAGGAGAGUGGAAUUCCACGUGUAGCGGUGAAAUGCGUAGAGAUGUGGAGGAACACCAGUGGCGAAGGCGACUCUCUGGUCUGUAACUGACGCUGAGGAGCGAAAGCGUGGGGAGCGAACAGGAUUAGAUACCCUGGUAGUCCACGCCGUAAACGAUGAGUGCUAAGUGUUAGGGGGUUUCCGCCCCUUAGUGCUGCAGCUAACGCAUUAAGCACUCCGCCUGGGGAGUACGGUCGCAAGACUGAAACUCAAAGGAAUUGACGGGGGCCCGCACAAGCGGUGGAGCAUGUGGUUUAAUUCGAAGCAACGCGAAGAACCUUACCAGGUCUUGACAUCCUCUGACACCCUAGAGAUAGGACUUUCCCUUCGGGGACAGAGUGACAGGUGGUGCAUGGUUGUCGUCAGCUCGUGUCGUGAGAUGUUGGGUUAAGUCCCGCAACGAGCGCAAACCC
rnacentral:rRNA from 2 species